GGUUGUGGCUGAGUGGUAAAGUGCUCACCUAGCAUGCAUGAGGUACUGGGUUCAAUUUUCAUCACCA
rnacentral:tRNA from 1 species